rnacentral:rRNA from 1 species
CCCCGGUUUAAGCGUAUAGGCUGGUUUUCCAGGCAAAUCCGGAAAAUCAAGGCUGAGGCGUGAUGACGAGGCACUACGGUGCUGAAGCAACAAAUGCCCUGCUUCCAGGAAAAGCCUCUAAGCAUCAGGUAACAUCAAAUCGUACCCCAAACCGACACAGGUGGUCAGGUAGAGAAUACCAAGGCGCUUGAGAGAACUCGGGUGAAGGAACUAGGCAAAAUGGUGCCGUAACUUCGGGAGAAGGCACGCUGAUAUGUAGGUGAAGCGACUUGCUCGUGGAGCUGAAAUCAGUCGAAGAUACCAGCUGGCUGCAACUGUUUAUUAAAAACACAGCACUGUGCAAACACGAAAGUGGACGUAUACGGUGUGACGCCUCCCCGGUGCCGGAAGGUUAAUUGAUGGGGUUAGCCGCAAGGCGAAGCUCUUGAUCGAAGCCCCGGUAAACGGCGGCCGUAACUAUAACGGUCCUAAGGUAGCGAAAUUCCUUGUCGGGUAAGUUCCGACCUGCACGAAUGGCGUAAUGAUGGCCAGGCUGUCUCCACCCGAGACUCAGUGAAAUUGAACUCGCUGUGAAGAUGCAGUGUACCCGCGGCAAGACGGAAAGACCCCGUGAACCUUUACUAUAGCUUGACACUGAACAUUGAGUCUUGAUGUGUAGGAUAGGUGGGAGGCUUUGAAGUGUGGACGCCAGUCUGCAUGGAGCCGACCUUGAAAUACCACCCUUUAAUGUUUGAUGUUCUAACGUUGACCCGUAAUCCGGGUUGCGGACAGUGUCUGGUGGGUAGUUUGACUGGGGCGGUCUCCUCCUAAAGAGUAACGGAGGAGCACGAAGGUUGGCUAAUCCUGGUCGGACAUCAGGAGGUUAGUGCAAUGGCAUAAGCCAGCUUGACUGCGAGCGUGACGGCGCGAGCAGGUGCGAAAGCAGGUCAUAGUGAUCCGGUGGUUCUGAAUGGAAGGGCCAUCGCUCAACGGAUAAAAGGUACUCCGGGGAUAACAGGCUGAUACCGCCCAAGAGUUCAUAUCGACGGCGGUGUUUGGCACCUCGAUGUCGGCUCAUCACAUCCUGGGGCUGAAGUAGGUCCCAAGGGUAUGGCUGUUCGCCAUUUAAAGUGGUACGCGAGCUGGGUUUAGAACGUCGUGAGACAGUUCGGUCCCUAUCUGCCGUGGGCGCUGGAGAACUGAGGGGGGCUGCUCCUAGUACGAGAGGACCGGAGUGGACGCAUCACUGGUGUUCGGGUUGUCAUGCCAAUGGCACUGCCCGGUAGCUAAAUGCGGAAGAGAUAAGUGCUGAAAGCAUCUAAGCACGAAACUUGCCCCGAGAUGAGUUCUCCCUGACUCCUUGAGAGUCCCGAAGGAACGUUGAAGACGACGACGUUGAUAGGCCGGGUGUGUAAGCGCAGCGAUGCGUUGAGCUAA